UACGUAGGGUGCGAGCGUUAAUCGGAAUUACUGGGCGUAAAGGGCGCGUAGGCGGCCUCUGCAAGUCGGGUGUGAAAGCCCUCGGCUUAACCGAGGAAGUGCAUUCGAAACUACUGAGCUUGAAUACUGGAGAGGAUCGCGGAAUUCCCGGUGUAGAGGUGAAAUUCGUAGAUAUCGGGAGGAACACCAGUGGCGAAGGCGGCGAUCUGGACAGAUAUUGACGCUGAGGUGCGAAAGCGUGGGGAGCAAACAGG
rnacentral:rRNA from 1 species